rnacentral:rRNA from 1 species
AUGAACGCUGGCGGCGUGCCUAAUACAUGCAAGUCGAGCGAACAGACGAGGAGCUUGCUCCUUUGAUGUUAGCGGCGGACGGGUGAGUAACACGUAGGUAACCUACCUAUAAGACUGGGAUAACUUCGGGAAACCGGAGCUAAUACCGGAUAAUAUUUCGAACCGCAUGGUUCGAUAGUGAAAGAUGGCUUUGCUAUCACUUAUAGAUGGACCUGCGCCGUAUUAGCUAGUUGGUAAGGUAACGGCUUACCAAGGCAACGAUACGUAGCCGACCUGAGAGGGUGAUCGGCCACACUGGAACUGAGACACGGUCCAGACUCCUACGGGAGGCAGCAGUAGGGAAUCUUCCGCAAUGGGCGAAAACCUGACGGAGCAACGCCGCGUGAGUGAUGAAGGUCUUCGGAUCGUAAAACUCUGUUAUUAGGGAAAAACAAACGUGUAAGUAACUGUGCACGUCUUGACGGUACCUAAUCAGAAAGCCACGGCUAACUACGUG